rnacentral:rRNA from 1 species
AUUGAACGCUGGCGGCAGGCCUAACACAUGCAAGUCGAACGAGAGGCGGACGGGUUAGUAAUGACUGGGAAACUGCCUGAUGGAUGGGGAUAACUACUGGAAACGGUAGCUAAUAACGCCUAGCAUCAGAUGUGCCCAGAUGGGAUUAGCUUGUUGUUGGGGUAACGGCUAACCAAGGGGACGAUCCCUAGCUGGUAUGAGAGGAGGACCAGCCACACUGGAACUGAGACACGGUCCAGCCUCCUACGGGAGGCAGCAGUGGGGAAUAUUGCACAAUGGGCGCAAGCCUGAUGCAGCCAUGCCGCGUGUAUGAAGAAGGCCUUCGGGUUGUAAAGUACUUUCGGCGGGAAGGCGUUACCCGCAGAAGAAGCACCGGCUAACUCCGUGCCAGCAGCCGCGGUAAUAC